rnacentral:rRNA from 1 species
GACAGAGGGUGCAAACGUUGUUCGGAAUUACUGGGCGUAAAGCGCGUGUAGGCGGCUCGGAAAGUCGGAUGUGAAAUCCCCGGGCUUAACCUGGGAAUGGCAUUUGGGACUGCAAGGCUUGAGUGCGGCAGAGGAGACUGGAAUUCCUGGUGUAGCAGUGAAAUGCGUAGAUAUCAGGAGGAACACCAAUUGCGAAGGCAGCUCGCUGGGACGUAACUGACGCUGAGACGCGAAAGCGUGGGGAGCAAACAGG